rnacentral:rRNA from 1 species
ACGCCCAAGGCCGGGCAGCCUACACAUGCAGUCGAGCGGUAACAGAUCUAGCUUGCUAGAUGCUGACGAGCGGCGGACGGGUGAGUAAUGCAUAGGAAUCUACCCAGUAGUGGGGGAUAACCUGGGGAAACCCAGGCUAAUACCGCAUACGUCCUACGGGAGAAAGGGGGCUUCGGCUCCCGCUAUCGGAUGAGCCUAUGCCGGAUUAGCUGGUUGGUGAGGUAACGGCUCACCAAGGCGACGAUCCGUAGCUGGUCUGAGAGGAUGAUCAGCCACAUCGGGACUGAGACACGGCCCGAACUCCUACGGGAGGCAGCAGUGGGGAAUAUUGGACAAUGGGGGCAACCCUGAUCCAGCCAUGCCGCGUGUGUGAAGAAGGCCCUCGGGUUGUAAAGCACUUUCAGCGAGGAAGAACGCCUAUCGGUUAAUACCCGUUAGGAAAGACAUCACUCGCAGAAGAAGCACCGGCUAACUCCGUGCCAGCAGCCGCGGUAAUACGGAGGGUGCAAGCGUUAAUCGGAAUUACUGGGCGUAAAGCGCGCGUAGGUGGCUUGAUAAGCCGGUUGUGAAAGCCCCGGGCUCAACCUGGGAACGGCAUCCGGAACUAUCAGGCUAGAGUGCAGGAGAGGAAGGUAGAAUUCCCGGUGUAGCGGUGAAAUGCGUAGAGAUCGGGAGGAAUACCAGUGGCGAAGGCGGCCUUCUGGACUGACACUGACACUGAGGUGCGAAAAGCGUGGGUAGCAAACAGGAUUAGAUACCCUGGUAGUCCACGCCGUAAACGAUGUCGACCACCCGUUGGGUGCCUAGCGCACUUUGUGGCGAAGUUAACGCGAUAAGUCGACCGCCUGGGGAGUACGGCCGCAAGGUUAAAACUCAAAUGAAUUUGACGGGGGCCCGCACAAGCGGUGGAGCAUGUGGUUUAAUUUCGAUGCACGCGAAGAAACCUUACCUACUCUUUGACAUCCUGCGAAACUUGGUGAAGAGAUUCACUUGGUGCUCUUUCGGGGAGCGCAGAA